AGGGGGGGACCCUUUCCUCUCUCUCAGAUGCACACACACACUAUGUUUCUACUAGUUAUGCAUUCAUACAUCUAUAAAAUAAGAAAAUACAAGUACCUGGCAAAGACCAAGAUGCCCUUUGGUUAAAAAAUGCCACCUAUUAUUUUGAGGGUCAAAAUGAGUCCAAAUAAUACUUUUUGGGACUAAAUUCUGACUUUGGUUAUCAUCUAACUCUUAGUUUCUUAUGCAGCUCUCUCUAUUGGUCAACUAAUGUACUAUUUGUCCUAUUGUUUGUGAUCUAACCGAACAGAGGGAGGAUAGUUGCUCCUCUAAACACAGACUGUACCCUUUUUUCAUGUUUUCCUUACUCCCAAUGUUGCUUUCUAAUCACAAUCCCAGAUGCAAUGUUGGAGACUUUCUCACUCUUCCUCUUCUGUCUUCACUCUUCCCUCUCUUCCUCUUCUUUCUUCACUCUUCCCUCUCUUCCUCUUCUUUCUUCACUCUUCCCUCUCUUCGUCUUCUCCCUAUUCGUCUUCCUCCUUCAUCUUCUUCUUCCUUCUCCGUCUCCUUCUUCAUUGUUAUUAUUGAGUUUCAGACAUGUUUGAUUUUGAUUUUGAUUUGAUGUUUGUUGUUUCAGGUUUGGUGGUGUUGACUCACGCGAAAGAGGGAAGCUUCGCCGACGGUGCGGUUAUCUGAACAUAAGUUUACUGAGUGUUGAAGGAUAUGAAGAUGAUGUUAUGGUUCCAGAACUUUGGUGAGAUUUUUCUGAUUUUUGUUCUUUGUGUUUUUGGAUCUACGGAUCUGUUGUCUUUUUUUCUUCUUCUACAAAAAUCUCUAAAGGAUUUUAAGUAUUUGGAAAAUGACGGUAACAUUUAGGGUUUCAUUAUGAUCUUUGUGGCUAUGGUUGUGUGUUUGUGUGAAUAGUUAUUGUUUUUGCAACAAUUUGAGAAGGGUUUCUGGAAAAUGAAGAAUGAAAAUCUUAGGGUUUCAUUGUUUGUUUCUCUGUGGCUGAUUUCGGGUGAACAGUGGUCUCUGAGGUAUGGACAACCCAAAGGUUAGUGCAUAGAUUAGACCUUUUAUAAUGUGGGUUUUUUUCGUUGGUUGAUGUCAUGUUGAUUACCUUGAAUAUUGUUUGAUAUUGCAAAUGUUCAAAUCUGCAGAUUUUAUGUUAUCACUGACAAACCUAACCAAUAUUCCAAUAUGUGCUGAAUGGUUUUUGGAUUUGGUCAUGUUGAGAUGGUGAAAGAGAGCUGCUAUUUUGUUUAUUUUUGCAAUAUUGACAACCUGUUCAGUUUCAGUUUUCCGAUUUAAGGCAUGUCAGAGCUUGCCCACCAUAUGUUUGAUGAAAAGCAGGAAUGACACAGUGGUUGUCGUUGCUGCGUUUCAUGGUCUGAGGUUUGAAAGACCCAGUCAGGUUUGAGAGCAGUAGAGCACGGGAUGAUAUCGAUAGCUACUCUUCGUAAUGGUUCAGCAACUGUCAAUGUUGUGGCCAAAAUGCAGGUAAGUUGUUAGUUAAAAGCGUCUAGCCUUUUAUUAUCGCGGCAAGUGUGUGCAUUUUAAUUCUGUCAAGUCUACUUAAAUUCAUAAACUAAACCAUUAGCACAUUCAAUUGGUGUAUUUGAAGUAAUCAGGUACCGGCAGUGGAUGUGUGGUGAUAGCGUUGAUGCAGUUUUGCGGUUGUCGCCGUAAGUGUGUGCAUUUUAAUGUUGUAAUAGAGUAAAUUGGUUAUAUUAAUUUGUAUUUUAUUUGUGCAUAGUUCAGGGUUCCUUCCUCUUUCUAUUUAGAGGUACAUAAAAAGUCAGAUCCUCAACUAUGGGAUAGGGUAACUGUUGCAAAGUUAUGAAGUCGAAGAGGAAAGGAACCAUGAUGAUAUAUGUGGGUGUGUGUAGGGAAAAUGAGGUCGAGAAAACAUCGUCAUUGGUGGCGGAAUGGACGGUGGAACUAGCACAGGUGGUGCUCUGAUUAUUAUUGGUGUUGCAAAAUUAAUGGGUAUACUGACUGUUGGGAUUGUGACCACCUUUUUUUCAUAUGAAGUUAGGCAAAUAAAGAAUAUAUGUUUCUUUCCUUUAGUUUUGUAGUGCACUUGUAUUUUUUUGUUGCUAUAUUUGCUUAAUUUAUUUCUUUUCUAGUGUGUGAAUGUAGACAGCACCCUGUGAAUGUUGCAAAACAAACUUUUGUAGGCAGCACCCUUUGAAGAGGAUCAUCUAAAGGUAAAAUGCGAGUAUCAUACGAGAACAAUGUGGCAUUCUAUCACAGGUUGUGGAGGUUUCAAGAUCAAAGUGCAAAGGUUAAUUGAUGUCAUGCCAUUAGUUCUGAAACCAUGCAAUGAGGACAGCAAGGGAUCUCCGAAACCCUUUAAGAUCAUGUACCACAAGGAAAGCAUCAGAUAGCUUACGAGUAGAUAUCACCAUUUCCCUGUGAAAAUGCAGAAGUAACGCCUUGGAAUUACAAUAUUGCCACACAUACAAGUGGAAGCACAGAAGAAAUAAGAGAUAAAUCUGAAAAGACUGCAUUUUGUGGAGAAUUAUAUAUAUAUAUAUAUAUAUAUAUAUAUAUAUAUAUAUAUAUAUAUAUAUAUAUAUAUAUAUAUAUAUAUAUAUAUAUAUAUAUAUAUAUGAAAGAAAAUUUAUAGUUGUGCUUUAUCUGUUGGUGUUGAUCCAACUGUUGCUGCUACUAUAUAGUUCAUAAAGCUAUUGGAGAUAGGCUUCAUUGUGUUUUUGUUGACAAUGGCUUGCUCAGGUUUAAGGAGCAGGAAGGGUGAUGGAAACGUUUGAGAAGGAUCUUCAUUUAUCGGUUGUUUGUGUUGAUGCGGUAUAUCCAACCGGUGUUUGGCAUGCAGUAACUUCUGUGUGUGAUUUGGAGGUCUUCACUUCAUCACUUGAAAUUUUUUGGAUAAUGCAGUGAGUUGAUAGGCUUGUGAGCUGAGUGCAAGUUAGCUUAUAGGAUCUGAUCUGGUGUAUGUGUGAACAUGUCCAGUAGCAUGUUUGAUGUUCAGUUGUAGCCGGAUUUUGGAAUAUAACUCAACAAGGUCAUCACAUGAUGAAGUUAUGGCUUCUCUGCUCCUUCAUGUAAUGCUGUCAAUGGCUUUUUUUCUAUGAUAUUAUUGAUUAUGGAUUGAGUUAAAAUUCGGUCGCGGUUUGGUGAUGCUAAAUCAACUAGAUGACUGAGCUAAAAAAACUGAUUGACAUUUAUCCUAGCAUCAAAGAUAAGCUUGUGUUUCCUAUGGAUGAUUAUCAAGCUUAUGGUUGAAGAAAUUUGGCUUUUAAAAUUGCUGGUGAGAGUGAUACCUUGCAUACAUUCAGCUGCUUCACGAUAGACGAAAUGAAGGCCAACUCUGCAUCGAAAUCAACACCGAAGAAAGAAUCCUAACAUUGUUACGAGAGACCUAUGAAGACUAAAGAAACCUCUCAGUAUUUUUAAGAAGCCAAAACUAUAUGUUUAGAAAAAAAUUGUUACGAGAGACCUAUGAAGACUAAAUAAUGAUGCACUCCUGCACCUAAGAAUGUAGUUGAAUUUUUUUUCUAUUAAGUCUUGAAAAUUAAAUGUCUAUUUGAUCAAGCUAACCGGAUUUGGAAUUAGUUAUUGUACAAGGAUAUGAAAAAAAAAAAAAAAAUCAAUUUUAA